GUUUUAUAUCACCGACUGCUGCAGGUUUACGCACUUCUUAACGGCGUGAAAGUUUCAACAGUAAUGCAAUGCAGAACCGCACAAUUUUCGAUUCGAACCGAUCGCAAGUCGUCCAACCGCCUUCUAUGGAGUACUUCGAAAGCGACUCAACAAAAACAAACUGAUCGAGGGAGAGCUGCCACGCACGUGCAGCCAGCAGUCAAAUCAUUUGCGGGCGCACUCUGUGACGUAGAAACGAACCUCCAACACCCAAACGCCAAGUAGACACACACAAACACACGAACGAGCAGAACACGAAAUUAAUUUAUGACUGCAAUUGGAAUUGACAAACGGAGGCCGUUUUGAUGCAGUUCACUGAAUCUGGGUGUAGUUGCGUUUACCGUUAUAUUGAGUUUCAGUUUUUAAUAAAUUCAGCUGGCUGCCCACUGUCA